rnacentral:rRNA from 1 species
CCUACGGGAGGCAGCAGUGAGGAAUAUUGGUCAAUGGACGAGAGUCUGAACCAGCCAAGUAGCGUGAAGGAUGACUGCCCUAUGGGUUGUAAACUUCCUUUAUAUGGGAAUAAAACGUUCCACGUGUGGGAUUUUGUAUGUACCAUAUGAAUAAGGAUCGGCUAACUCCGUGCCAGCAGCCGCGGUAAUACGGAGGAUCCGAGCGUUAUCCGGAUUUAUUGGGUUUAAAGGGAGCGUAGGUGGAUUGUUAAGUCAGUUGUGAAAGUUUGCGGCUCAACCGUAAAAUUGCAGUUGAAACUGGCAGUCUUGAGUACAGUAGAGGUGGGCGGAAUUCGUGGUGUAGCGGUGAAAUGCUUAGAUAUCACGAAGAACUCCGAUUGCGAAGGCAGUUCACUGGACUGCAACUGACACUGAGGCUCGAAAGUGUGGGUAUCAAACAGGAUUAGAUACCCCAGUAGUC